CCGUAACUAUAACGGUCCUAAGGUAGCGAAAUUCCUUGUCGGGCAAGUUCCGACCCGCACGAAAGGCGUAACGAUUUGGGCGCUGUCUCAGCUGUAGACUCGGUGAAGUCUUAGUACCUGUGAAGAUGCAGGUUGCCCGCGACUAGACGGAAAGACCCCAUGGAGCUUCACUGCAGGUUGACAUUGGGCUUGGAUGCAUGAUGUACAGGAUAGGUGGGAGGCUGUGAGCCGUGCGCGCCAGCGUACGGGGAGCCGCUGUUGGGAUACCACCCUUCAUGCAUCUAGGUCCUAACCGGAGGCAACGGGCCACGGGACAGUGUCAGUCGGGCAGUUUGACUGGGGCGGUCGCCUCCCAAAGAGUAACGGAGGCGCCCAAAGAUACCCUCAGCAUGGAUGGAAACCAUGCAUAGAGUGCAAAGGCAUAAGGGUGUCUGACUGCGAGACAUACAGGUCGAGCAGGGACGAAAGUCGGGCUUAGUGAUCCGGCGGAUCCGAAUGGAAGGGCCGUCGCUCAACGGAUAAAAGCUACCCUGGGGAUAACAGGCUGAUCUCCCCCAAGAGUCCACAUCGACGGGGAGGUUUGGCACCUCGAUGUCGGCUCAUCGCAUCCUGGGGCUGUAUUCGGUCCCAAGGGUUUGGCUGUUCGCCAAUUAAAGCGGUACGCGAGCUGGGUUCAGAACGUCGUGAGACAGUUCGGUCCCUAUCUGUCGUGGGCGCAGGAUAUUUGAUGGGAGCUGUCCCUAGUACGAGAGGACCGGGACGGACGUACCUCUGGCGCACCAGUUGUUCCGCCAGGAGCAUAGCUGGGCAACUACGUACGGAUCGGAUAAACGCUGAAAGCAUCUAAGCGUGAAGCCGACCCAAAGAUAAGAUGUCCCAUUGUUUUAAACAAGUAAGACCCCUUGAAGACUACAAGGUUGAUAGGCACGAUGUGUAAGUGGAGCGAUCCAUUCAGCAAGCGUGUACUAAUAGGUCGAGGGCUUGACCAC
rnacentral:rRNA from 1 species